GCUCAAUAAACUUGUUUAGCAACGGAGGCCAACAAGGAGAGCGAGUGUGGGAGUUUAAAGGCUUGUUCGAAGGCCCAAAGGCAGAAGGACUGGAGAGAGAGAAAGAGAGAUUUCUGAAAGUAUGCGAGCGGUGAGUCUGCGGGGUCCUUGUUAUCCAGCACCUAUCCAGACAUCCUUCAGCUGGGAACCCAGACAGCAUGACAAAAAACGACCAUAGAGGAGGAAAGACUGACAGCUCGAUUCCUGACUCAGGAGGCAGGUUCUGAUCAAACAACUGGAAUGAUCUUCAUGCUCUCGAGACCGGGAACGAUUCUCACUCCAGCUGAGUCACUGCUAGUCGCCCUUGAUCUCCAGGAUGGAGGGGUUGUGGUCCAGGAUGGACAGAAUGAUUUUGUCCAUGUACUGUCGCAGUCGUAUGUUGAUUUCUUCCUGCUCUUUCAGGGCUUCCAUUAACUGUGGAGAGAGACAUACGUCAAUCACCUAUUCAUUUCAGUUUGCCAAGAAGUUCAACCCUAAUCUGACCAAGCCUCAUGACUUAAGAGUAUUUUUGUUUCAUUUUGUAACCAUUGUUACAACUAGAAUAUGCUUUAAUAACUAUAUGCUAUACAAACAUUUACAUUUUCAUGGGUACACGAGUUGUUAUGAAUACUGCGAUUUGUUGUAAAUGCUGCAUUUUGCCUAAAUAAUUCUUUCAAAGAUGAUGCAUUAUUAAAAAAGUUGCUAAUCAACAGUUCAGUUAAUUUUUCAUUGAUCAAUCCACAAAGUGUUUUAGCUCUAAAGAUGCUUUUAUACAGACUUCAUUGGGCUCCAUGUCUAAAGUCUUUGUGAGAAAUAACCUCUGUAUUAUGCACAAAGAUACAAAGAUACAAUAAUAUAAUAUCUAGAUCACUGUCAUGCUGU